rnacentral:rRNA from 1 species
GACGAACGCUGGCGGCGUGCUUAACACAUGCAAGUCGAGCGGUAAGGCCCUUUCGGGGGUACACGAGCGGCGAACGGGUGAGUAACACGUGGGUGACCUGCCCUUAGCUCUGGGAUAAGCCUGGGAAACUGGGUCUAAUACCGGAUAUGACUCCAUGACGCAUGUUGUGGGGUGGAAAGCCUUGUGCGGCUAGGGAUGGGCCCGCGGCCUAUCAGCUUGUUGGUGGGGUGAUGGCCACCAAGGCGACGACGGUAGCCGGCCUGAGAGGACGACCGGCCACACUGGGACUGAGACACGGCCCAGACUCCUACGGGAGGCAGCAGUGGGGAAUCUUGCGCAAUGGGCGAAAGCCUGACGCAGCGACGCCGCGUGAGGGAUGACGGCCUCGGUUGUAA